GAAAUGCGAUAAGUAAUGUUAAUUGCAGAAUUCAGUGAAUCAUCGAAUCUUUGAACGCACCUUCCGCUCCUUGGUAUUCCUUGGAGCAUGCCUGUUUGAGUAUCAUGAAAUCUUCAAAGUAAAUCUUUUGUUAACUCAAUUGGUUUCUACUUUGGUAUUGGAGGUCUUUGCAGCUUCACACCUGCUCCUCUUUGUUCAUUAGCUGGAUCUCAGUGUUAUGCUUGGUUCCACUCGGCGUGAUAAGUUAUCUAUCGCUGAGGACACUGUAAAAGGUGGCCAAGGUAAAUGCAGAUGAACCGCUUCUAAUAGUCCAUUGACUUGGACAAUACUUUUAUGAUCUGAUCUCAAAUCAGGUAGGACUACCCGCUGAACUUAAGC
rnacentral:misc_RNA from 1 species